UACGUAGAGGGCUAGCGUUGUCCGGAAUCAUUGGGCGUAAAGCGCGUGUAGGCGGCCCGGUAAGUCCGCUGUGAAAGUCGGGGGCUCAACCCUCGGAUGCCGGUGGAUACUGUCGGGCUCGAGUACGGAAGAGGCGAGUGGAAUUCCUGGUGUAGCGGUGAAAUGCGCAGAUAUCAGGAGGAACACCAAUGCGAAGGCAGCUCGCUGGGACGUUACUGACGCUGAGACGCGAAAGCGUGGGGAGCAAACAGG
rnacentral:rRNA from 1 species